CGGUAACAGGUCUUCGGACGCUGACGAGUGGCGAACGGGUGAGUAAUACAUCGGAACGUGCCCAGUCGUGGGGGAUAACUACUCGAAAGAGUAGCUAAUACCGCAUACGAUCUGAGGAUGAAAGCGGGGGACCUUCGGGCCUCGCGCGAUUGGAGCGGCCGAUGGCAGAUUAGGUAGUUGGUGGGAUAAAAGCUUACCAAGCCGACGAUCUGUAGCUGGUCUGAGAGGACGACCAGCCACACUGGGACUGAGACACGGCCCAGACUCCUACGGGAGGCAGCAGUGGGGAAUUUUGGACAAUGGGCGAAAGCCUGAUCCAGCAAUGCCGCGUGCAGGAUGAAGGCCUUCGGGUUGUAAACUGCUUUUGUACGGAACGAAAAAGCUCCUUCUAAUACAGGGGGCCCAUGACGGUACCGUAAGAAUAUG
rnacentral:rRNA from 1 species